UAAUUAUCUCUCCUGUCUGGACAUCGACGAGGGGUACCAAGCUGAACUGAAAAUAUCCUCCGAAUAACUCCACGUGAUAUUCUCAGCAUGACACAAAAUGACCCCACUUAUGACAUGUUAGACCUCCCUUCAUCGGGGUAAUUUAGGAAGGGGUUUAUACAUAUGAAAAAAUCACAUUUCUCUUAUCUUGGGUGGCCCUGUAUUUGAUGUUGGUUCUUCCAACUCAUGACCCUUUGGAACAUUCAAGGUCAUUCCUACUGAUGUUCCUCUCAACGCCCGUGAAAUGGUAGCUUGAGAUACCAAAUUCUUUGCAACUGUAACACUCUUUUGUUUCCUUCCCUAGGGUCUGAGCAACAUUAACUAUUUCUGAUGAUCCACCAACUGCACCGAUAGCGGCUUGUGUCGUCAAACUUUGUUCUUCACUCAAUAAUUCACCAAAGCAUACAUCCAAACAAGAAACCAUAUCUCUAUUCAUUAACCCAACCCAAACAAUUUCAAAUUCAGGUCAGAGCUUCAUUAAAAAUUGAUCGCGACACUCACUUCAUAAAUAGCCCGAAAACUAGCUAAGUUCUCUUUUGACACUUUAGCAUAGAUAAUGCCAGAAUAUUUGCUCUAUAAAUUUAGGAAGUCAGAAUAAUAUUGUUCAAUUGAGAGAUUACCUUAACUAUAAUUACUUAUUUCAACUUUCAAUUGAAUGCAUCUUACAGUAUUAUCUUGAUUGUAGACGCACUUCAAGUAUUUUCAUAUUUCUUUAACCGUGCAAAAUGAUCGAUAAAUCCCAAAAUCCAAGAAAUAAUCCGAGCAUCCUUUGCCUCCCAUUAACCAAGAUUUUUCGGCUCUGUAGGUGUUGGAGAUGACCCAUCAAUGUGACCCCAAAGCUCAUUCAUUUUUAAAAACAUCUUGAAUUGAAAUUCCCAUGCUGCAUAAUUUUUUCGCUUAAAUCUAAUAUCUAAGAUUUCAGAAGACAUUCUAAACAGAAUUGUCAAUCACAAUUUGAUUAUCAAGAAAGUUGUUGAUCGAAA